rnacentral:rRNA from 1 species
UGGCUCAGGAUGAACGCUGGCGGCGUGCUUAACACAUGCAAGUCGAACGGUGAACACGGAGCUUGCUCUGUGGGAUCAGUGGCGAACGGGUGAGUAACACGUGAGCAACCUGCCCCUGACUCUGGGAUAAGCGCUGGAAACGGCGUCUAAUACUGGAUAUGUGACGUGACCGCAUGGUCUGCGUUUGGAAAGAUUUUUCGGUUGGGGAUGGGCUCGCGGCCUAUCAGCUUGUUGGUGAGGUAAUGGCUCACCAAGGCGUCGACGGGUAGCCGGCCUGAGAGGGUGACCGGCCACACUGGGACUGAGACACGGCCCAGACUCCUACGGGAGGCAGCAGUGGGGAAUAUUGCACAAUGGGCGCAAGCCUGAUGCAGCAACGCCGCGUGAGGGAUGACGGCCUUCGGGUUGUAAACCUCUUUUAGCAGGGAAGAAGCGAAAGUGACGGUACCUGCAGAAAAAGCGCCGGCUAACUACGUGCCAGCAGCCGCGGUAAUACGUAGGGCGCAAGCGUUAUCCGGAAUUAUUGGGCGUAAAGAGCUCGUAGGCGGUUUGUCGCGUCUGCUGUGAAAUCCCGAGGCUCAACCUCGGGCCUGCAGUGGGUACGGGCAGACUAGAGUGCGGUAGGGGAGAUUGGAAUUCCUGGUGUAGCGGUGGAAUGCGCAGAUAUCAGGAGGAACACCGAUGGCGAAGGCAGAUCUCUGGGCCGUAACUGACGCUGAGGAGCGAAAGGGUGGGGAGCAAACAGGCUUAGAUACCCUGGUAGUCCACCCCGUAAACGUUGGGAACUAGUUGUGGGGUCCAUUCCACGGAUUCCGUGACGCAGCUAACGCAUU